AUUGAACGCUGGCGGCAGGCCUAACACAUGCAAGUCGAGCGAGCGGCGGACGGGUGAGUAAUGUAUGGGGACUGCCCGAUAGAGGGGGAUAACUACUGGAAACGGUGACUAAUACCGCAUACUAUCGGAUAACCCAUAUGGGAUUAGCUGGUAGGUAAGGUAAUGGCUUACCUAGGCGACGAUCCCUAGCUGGUCUGAGAGGAUGAUCAGCAACACUGGGACUGAGACACGGCCAAGACUCCUACGGAGGCAGCAGUAGGGAAUAGUGCGCAAUGGGCGCAAGCCUGAUCGAGCGACGCCGCGUGUGUGAAGAAGGUCCUAGGGUUGUAAAGCUCUUUCAUUCGGGAAGCGUUACCUACAGAAGAAGCCACGGCUAACUCCGUGCCAGCAGCCGCGGUAAUAC
rnacentral:rRNA from 1 species